rnacentral:rRNA from 13 species
CCAAAGAAGGUAAAAGUCCUGUAUGAUGAAAAUAUAUAGAGUAAAAAAGUAAAACAUGUUAAAGUGUUUGAAGAUAGGAGAACCACCUUCUAAGCCUGAAUAUGAUAUAUAGAUCGAUAGUGUACAAGUACCGUGAGGGAAAGGUGAAAAGAACCCUAGACCGUAGGGAGUGAAAAGAUCUGAAACAGAAUACUGACAAGCAAUUGGAGCUUAUGUUUUAGUCUAUUAAAACAGAGUGACAGUGUACCUUUUGCAUAAUGGGUCAGCGACUAAAUGAAGCAAGUGUGCGUAAGCAGGGAUGUGGACGCGUAGCAAAAGCAAGUCGACAAAGGCAUGAAAUUUGCUUCAUUUGACCCGAAACUAAGUGAUCUUAUCUUGAACAGGUUGAAGAAAGCGUAAUGUCUUUUGGAGGACCGAACCGACGUCUGUAGCAAUAGACGCGGAUGAUUUGAGAUAAGGGGUGAAAGGCCAAUCAAACUUAGAAAUAGCUGGUUCUUCGCGAAAUUUAUUGAGGUAAAGCGUACAUAGACAAAACUGUUAAUGGGGGUAGAGCACUCAUUGAGCUAUGGGGGUCCAAAACCUUACUGCUCUCAAGGAAACUCCGAAUACCAUCUAACAUGUAACACGAAAUGUGCAGUCAGACAUAUAGUGCUAAGGUUAUAUGUCGAAAGGGAAACAGCCCAG